CCUACGGUGGGCAGCAGUGAGGAAUAUUGGUCAAUGGGCGCGAGCCUGAACCAGCCAAGUAGCGUGAAGGAUGACUGCCCUACGGGUUGUAAACUUUUUUUAUAAAGGAAUAAAGUGAGGCACGUGUGCCUCUUUGAAUGUACUUUAUGUAUAAGGAUCGGCUAACUCCGUGCCAGCCGCCGCGGUAAUACGGAGGAUCCGAGCGUUCUCCGGAUUUAUUGGCUUUAAAGGGAGCGUAUAUGGGUUGUACUGUAAGUUGUGAUAGUUUGCGGCUGAACCGUACAAUUGCAAUUGAUACUGGCAGUCUUGAGUACAGUUGAGGUAGGCGGAAUUCGUGGUGUAGCGGUGAAAUGCUUAGAUAUCACGAAGAACUCCGAUUGCGAAGGCAGCUUACUAAACUGCCACUGACAUUGAUGCUCGAAAGUGUGGGUAUCAAACAGGAUUAGAUACCCCAGUAGUC
rnacentral:rRNA from 1 species